rnacentral:tRNA from 1 species
GCCUUCUUGGUGUAAUGGUAGCACACUCGGCGCAUAUUCGAGAGGUCUAGGUUCGAGUCCCGGCAAGGGCA